rnacentral:rRNA from 1 species
UACGGAGGGUGCAAGCGUUGUCCGGAAUCACUGGGCGUAAAGGGCGCGUAGGCGGCUCAUGAAGGCUGUGGUGAAAGUCCGGGGCUCAACCUCGGAUCGGUCGUGGCGACUCGUGGGCUGGAGCACUGUAGAGGCGGGUGGAAUUCCGGGUGUAGCGGUGGAAUGCGUAGAGAUCCGGAAGAACACCAGUGGCGAAGGCGGCCCGCUGGGUAGUGGCUGACGCUGAGGCGCGACAGCGUGGGGAGCGAACAGG